rnacentral:rRNA from 1 species
AGAGUUUGAUCAUGGCUCAGGACGAACGCUGGCGGCGCGCUUCAAGCAUGCAAGUCGAACGAGAACCCCGGGCUUGCCCGGGGGGAGAGUGGCGAACGGGUGAGUAACACGUGAGGAACCUGCCCCGAAGACCGGGAUAACGCCGGGAAACUGGUGCUAAUACCGGAUGCCCUCGCCGGAUCGCAUGGUCCGGCGAGGAAAUGGAUUCCGCUUCGGGAUGGCCUCGCGUCCUAUCAGCUUGCUGGUGGGGUAACGGCCCACCAAGGCAGCGACGGGUAGCUGGUCUGAGAGGAUGUCCAGCCACACUGGGACUGAGACACGGCCCAGACUCCUACGGGAGGCAGCAGCUAGGAAUCUUGCGCAAUGGACGAAAGUCUGACGCAGCGACGCCGCGUGCGGGAUGAAGGCCCUAGGGUCGUAAACCGCUUUCAGCAGGGACGAAACUGACGGUACCUGCAGAAGAAGCCCCGGCCAACUACGUGCCAGCAGCCGCGGUA